rnacentral:rRNA from 1 species
GACGAACGCUGGCGGCGUGCUUAACACAUGCAAGUCGAACGAGUGGCGAACGGGUGAGUAAUACGUGAGUAACCUGCCCUCUUGUUGGGAUAAGCCUUGGAAACGGGGUCUAAUACCGAAUAACGGGGGAUGGGCUCGCGGCCUAUCAGCUUGUUGGGGGGGUGAUGGCCUACCACGGCGGUGCCGGGUAGCCGGCCGGGGAGGGUGACAGGCGACAUGGGGAAUGGGACACGGCCCAGCCGGCGACGGGAGGGAGCAGUGGUGGAUAUUGCGCACUGGGCGGAAGCCGGAUGCAGGGGCGCCGCGUGGGGGGUGAAGGCUUUCGGGGUGUAAACCUCUUGCGCGAUCGAACCGGUAGGUGGAGAAGAAGCGCCGGCUAACUUCGUGCCAGCAGCCGCGGUAAUAC